AUGGCAUGUAUGAACUGGAACUGCCGGGGGCUUGGGAACCCCGAGGCAGUUUGCGAGCUUCGCAGCAUUGUGAAGCUGGAAGGACCCACUCUACUCUUUGUAAUGGAGACCAAGAUUAAAGCAAAAAGAGUAGAGGAGUUGAGGUAUACUCUAGGUUUUGGAGGUUGCUUUGCUGUUGAUAGUGUCGGCCUUAGUGGCGGCAUUGGCUUGUUCUGGUCCCGCGAAGUGAAUGUUGAAUUAAAGAACUUUAGCAACUAUCAUAUUGAUGUUGUGGUUAAUGGGAAUGCUCAGAAUUCUUCUCCCUCAUGGAGAUUCACGGGGUUCUACGGGGCGCCGCGAGCUGCCGAUCGCAGCGAUCGAUGGCAGGUUCUCCGCAAUCUCUAUGCUAUACCCCAUGCUGCUUUGAUGAGUAUGGGGAUUACAAUGAAAUGUUAUUUGCUUCUGAACACUAUAGCAGAUGAGCGAGACCCGAAGCGCAGAUGA
rnacentral:rRNA from 1 species